rnacentral:rRNA from 1 species
AUUGAACGCUGGCGGCAGGCCUAACACAUGCAAGUCGAACGAGUGGCGGACGGGUGAGUAAUGUCUGGGAAACUGCCUGCUGGAGGGGGAUAACUACUGGAAACGGUAGAUAAUACCGCAUACCAUCGGAUGUGCCCAGAUGGGAUUAGCUGGUAGGUGGGGUAACGGCGCACCUAGGCGACGAUCCCUAGCGGGUCUGAGAGGAUGACCGGCCACACUGGAACUGAGAAACGGUCCAGACUCCUACGGGAGGCAGCAGUGGGGAAUAUUGCACAAUGGGCGCAAGCCUGCUGCGGCCAGGCCGCGUGGAUGAAGAAGGCCUUCGGGUUGUAAAGUACUUUCAGCGGGGAGGCGUUACCCGCAGAAGAAGCACCGGCUAACUCCGUGCCAGCCGCCGCGGUAAUUC